AAGCGUUUAUGACCAGACUUGGGCUUGGUUAAUCAUCUGGGGUUCUCCCCAGUGCACUUUUCCAGUCCAGGCCAGCAUCAGUUUUCCCCGGGGGAUAAAGGCGGCGGGAAUGUGGCUCUCUUCGGGGAGUGUUAUAGCCCACCGUGUAAUACCCUGGGGGGGACU
rnacentral:rRNA from 1 species